rnacentral:sRNA from 1 species
ACAUAAACCCGAUAGCAGCGGAAAUCUCCCGAUUUAAGCAUCUGUAUUUAUUGUUUUAAAGGCAUGCUCGCUUGUUGCACAGGUUUCAUCGGGAAUUGUAGCAAAUAGCGGGACUGUAU